CUAAUACUUCCUCCGUUCGAAAAAGCUUGUCCCUCAAAUGGAUGUAUCUAGCAUCAAGUUAGUGCUAAAUACAUCCAUUUGAGGGACAACCUUGGGACAAGCUUUUUCGGACGGAGGGAAUACCUU
rfam:Triticum urartu cultivar G1812 contig425044, whole genome shotgun sequence.